UUCCUAGAGAUAGUGGACGUUACUCGCAGAAUAAGCACCGGCUAACUCUGUGCAAGCAGCCGCGGUAAUACAGAGGGUGCGAGCGUUAAUCGGAGUUACUGGGCGUAAAGCGAGCGUAGGCGGCUUAUUAAGUCGGAUGUGAAAUCCCCGAGCUUAACUUGGGAAUUGCAUUCGAUACUGGUGAGCUAGAGUAUGGGAGAGGAUGGUAGAAUUCCAGGUGU
rnacentral:rRNA from 1 species